AAGUUGCGAAUAGUCCCUAAAUUUCAAUAUCUUCUACAAAUUAGCCGGAUUGACUUGAAGUGAAGUGGGUAGAUCGGAUCAACACAACAAAGCACACUAUCCAGAUCAAUUCCGGUAGCUUUUGUUUUAUGUUUGAAGAUUUAUAUGGCAUGUAUAGAGUUUAAAUGAAAUGAAGUAAAGAUGUUAUAAACUAGUUAACAACAUUUUGUACUAAAAUAGUUUUUGGUUAGUAGCAGUAGUCUGAGUUUGAAAA